rnacentral:rRNA from 1 species
UACGGAGGGUGCAAGCGUUAUCCGGAUUUACUGGGCUUAAAGGGUGCGUAGGCGGGCAGUUAAGUCAGCGGUGAAAUCUCUGGGCUUAACCCAGAAACUGCCAUUGAUACUAUCUGUCUUGAAUAUCCUGGAGGUGAGCGGAAUAUGUCAUGUAGCGGUGAAAUGCUUAGAUAUGACAUAGAACACCAAUUGCGAAGGCAGCUCACUGCGGGGUUAUUGACACUGAGGCACGAAAGCGUGGGGAGCAAACAGG